AUGCCGUGGUACAACAGCCUUCCUCUUCAUUACAAGAACUGCUUGAUAUAUCUAUCUAUCUUCCCCCAAAAUGAUGGCAAUAUCCGAAGAACAAGCCUAGUCAGGCGAUGGGCAGCUGAGAACCUGAUCGCCGGAAGAAAUGGGUCAGCUGCACAUGAUGAAGCCGAGCACUGCUUCACUGUGCUUCUUGCAAAAAGAUUUAUUCUUCGCAGGGACAUCGGUGCUGCAGGGAAGGUCAAAAGCUGCAGAGUAAAUGAUUUCAUAUCAAAGUUCAUCAUGGAUAUUGCCAGAGAGGAGAAGUUCGUGGAUGCAGAUCUCCAACCGAAUUUCGGUCAUCGGAUAUCCAUUCACAAUAGAGGCCAACUGCAACAAGUCCUAUGGACACUUCAGGCAUCUGGCCCCAGCCCCUGUUUGAACAUUCGCAAGCACUCAACUAAUACUGAAGAUGGUCAAACCUUGGAUGACCUUACCAAGUUCCUUGAAACACUGCCUUCAUUUGCUCAGCUGGGGUUGCUUACAGUGCUGGAUCUGGAAGGCUUUGAUGGUUUAAAGGAUUACCAUCUGAAAAACAUCUGCGAAAUAUUUCAACUAAGAUAUCUGAACCUACGGAGGACUAAGAUUACCAAAUUGCCCAAGCAGAUAGAGAAACUUCAGCAGUUGGAAACACUGGACAUUCGGGAAACAGCUGUAAGAUCAUUUGGCACAAGCAGUGUUGUACUUCCAAUGCUAAAGCAUAUGCUUGCUGGGUGCACCCAACACCCAAACGAAGACGUGGAGUCAUUUUCCACAGUGUGCAUGCCCCUUGGAACUGGCAGCAUGACAAAUCUGCAGAUACUGUGCCAUGUUGAUGUUUCAGGCAAAGAAGAUCGUCUGGUCGAGAUCGGGAAGCUACUGCAGCUUAGAAAAUUGGGUGUUGUCUUCCGAAGCAAGAGAGAUAAUUUCAAGCACUUGCUCCAGGCAAUUGAGAAGCUGAACCAGAGCCUCCUCUCUCUCUCACUGUGUGGAAAUAACAGAUGGCCACAGGACUACAGACAUUAA
rnacentral:rRNA from 1 species